GGGGAUUUAGCUCAGUGGUAGAGCGCUUGCCUAGCAAGCGCAAGGCCCUAGGUUCAGUUCCCA
rnacentral:tRNA from 1 species